rnacentral:rRNA from 1 species
UGAGGAAUAUUGGUCAAUGGACGAGAGUCUGAACCAGCCAAGUAGCGUGCAGGAUGACGGCCCUAUGUGUUGUACACUGCUUUUGUUUGGGAAUAAUCGACAUUACGUGUAAUGUUUUGCAUGUAUCAUUCGAAUAAGGACCGGCUAAUUCCGUGCCAGCAGCCGCGGUAAUACGUAGGUGGCAAGCGUUGUCCGGAAUUAUUGGGCGUAAAGCGCGCGCAGGUGGUUUAGAAAGUCUGAUGUGAAAGCCCACGGCUCAACCGGGGAGGGUCAUUGGAAACUAAUAAACUUGAGUGGAGGAGAGAAAAGUGGAAUUCCUAGUGUAGCGGUGAAAUGCGUAGAGAUUAGGAGGAACACCGGUGGCGAAAGCGGCGUUUGGGCCUGCAACUGACACUGAGGCGCGAAAGAGGGGGGAGCAAGCAGG